rnacentral:rRNA from 1 species
UACGUAGGGUGCGAGCGUUAAUCGGAAUUACUGGGCGUAAAGCGUGCGCAGGUGGUGCGUUAAGUCCGCUGUGAAAGCCCCGGGCUCAACCUGGGAAUGGCGGUGGAAACUGGCGUGCUGGAGUCGGGCAGAGGGGGGUGGAAUUCCGCGUGUAGCAGUGAAAUGCGUAGAGAUGCGGAGGAACACCGAUGGCGAAGGCAGCCCCCUGGGCUACGACUGACGCUCAAGCACGAAAGCGUGGGGAGCAAACAGG